rnacentral:piRNA from 1 species
GGCUCGAGGGGUAUGAACCUCUGC